rnacentral:lncRNA from 1 species
CCCCAAGCAGAGAGCGCGGCUGCUCCUGCCCUGGCUGCUGGCACAGCCCCGGCACCCACGGCAGGGUCAGACCUGCCUCAUCCCCAGCUUGUUUCUGGCUGUCCUGGGUCCUGGCAGAGCUGCAGCCCCGGGCAGGAGACUUGGCAACACAAGGUGAACUAAAGGAGCACCAAAUUUAUCUCAUUUGUUGUCUUAAACCAAAAAAACCCGAACCUCAGGAUGUGUAACUCAGUGCAGCAUCCUGAGAUCUUGAUCUGCUGUUCCAUAACUGUGGAGCUGCUCUUGUUGCAGAUCCUUUUCCCCAACUAUCCCUGUUUUCCAGUUGCCAGCUGCAAGCGCACCAUAGCCCAAUCUCUGCUUGGUGCCUGGGCUGGGGUGGCUUGUUCCUCUUCAGCAGAGCCCAUGUUUUGUACGGGACAAUGCCAAGGGUCCCUGCGCAUGGGGAGGUGGCUGUGCCCAUUAAAGUCAUCUCUGGUGUCACCGGCAUGCUGGUGGCAGCCAGAAGGCAGCAGGGAGCUCCUGUAGUUCCACUUCCUCACUGGAAUGCCUGUGAAUCUGCAUUAUAGGAGGGUGAGGGGGGGUUGGGGUGCUGGAGCAGGGUUGGUCCCUCCUGUCCUUCCUCAAGAGGUGGAUUUGGACUUGGAGCUCAGGUGUGGCCGGUCCCACUGCUGGUGCAGGGCACACGGGACUGGGGCUUUGGCCCAGGGCUGGGAAUGCCGCUGGUGAGCAGCAGGAGCGGUUUGGGUACCACAUGGCUUGGCAGUGCAGGGGGACGCCAGGGCUUUGGCUAUGUGGCCAUGGCCCAGAGGAGAUGAGGACCCUCUGUGCCAGGACCUCCUUGAGGGGUGGCCGGUCCCUGGGCUGCUGCAGGGGCCGUGUCACAGAGCAGGGCUCGGCAAUCCCGCGCUGGUUGAUCGUCCUUGGCUCCCGGUGGGUCCCAUCGGCUGCGCUCCCCGGCACCGCAGAGUUUUCUUUCUUCGUGUCAUGUUCCUCUUUCUGAUUCCUUUUGCCUUCUCCCCAGCUCUCCCGCCCAGUAGCAUAUCAUCGGCAUCGGUAACCAGCUCUGUGGCAUCUGAACUCCAUGGAGCCAUGAUGGAACCUGAUAUAUUGUUAAAUAAAAGGGUUUUUUUCCUAUGGAAA